rnacentral:rRNA from 1 species
UACGUAGGCAGCAAGCGUUGUUCGGAAUUACUGGGCGUAAAGAGUGUGUAGGCGGUGCUCUAAGUUCGGUGUGAAAUCUCCCGGCUCAACUGGGAGGGUGCGCCGGAAACUGGAGUGCUGGAGCGCGGGAGAGGAAAGCGGAAUUCCUGGUGUAGCGGUGAAAUGCGUAGAUAUCAGGAGGAACACCGGCGGUGUAGACGGCUAUCUGGACCGUAACUGACGCUGAGGCACGAAAGCGUGGGUAGCAAACAGG